CUGAGUGAAGGCCACCGGUCCAACCUCCAACCCUCUGUGAACCAACACUGUUGCUUCGGGGGCUCCCCUGCCCUUUGGGCUCGGGGCCCCCGGAGGAAAUCAAAAUCUGCAUCUCUGCGUCGGAGUAUCAAUCAAAUUGAACA
rnacentral:misc_RNA from 1 species